UACGAAGGGGGCUAGCGUUGCUCGGAAUCACUGGGCGUAAAGCGCACGUAGGCGGAUUGCUAAGUCAGGGGUGAAAUCUCCACGCUCAACGUGGAGGGGCCACCUGAUACUGCCAUGACUUGAGUCCGGUAGGGGAGUGUGGAAUUCCCGGUGUAGCGGUGAAAUGCGCAGAUAUCGGGAGGAACACCCGUAGCGAAGGCGGCACUCUGGGCCGUGACUGACGCUGAGGAGCGAAAGCGUGGGGAGCAAACAGG
rnacentral:rRNA from 1 species